rnacentral:rRNA from 1 species
UGACUGGGGCGGUCUCCUCCCAAAGAGUAACGGAGGAGCACGAAGGUGGGCUAAUCACGGUUGGACAUCGUGAGGUUAGUGCAAUGGCAUAAGCCCGCUUAACUGCGAGAAUGACGGUUCGAGCAGGUGCGAAAGCAGGUCAUAGUGAUCCGGUGGUUCUGUAUGGAAGGGCCAUCGCUCAACGGAUAAAAGGUACUCCGGGGAUAACAGGCUGAUACCGCCCAAGAGUUCAUAUCGACGGCGGUGUUUGGCACCUCGAUGUCGGCUCAUCACAUCCUGGGGCUGAAGUCGGUCCCAAGGGUAUGGCUGUUCGCCAUUUAAAGUGGUACGCGAGCUGGGUUUAGAACGUCGUGAGACAGUUCGGUCCCUAUCUGCCGUGGGCGUUGGAAGAUUGAAGGGGGCUGCUCCUAGUACGAGAGGACCGGAGUGGACGAACCUCUGGUGUUCGGGUUGUGUCGCCAGACGCAUUGCCCGGUAGCUAAGUUCGGAAUUGAUAAGCGCUGAAAGCAUCUAAGCGCGAAGCGAGCCCUGAGAUGAGUCUUCCCUGACAGUUUAACUGUCCUAAAGGGUUGUUCGAGACUAGAACGUUGAUAGGCAGGGUGUGUAAGCGUUGUGAGGCGUUGAGCUAACCUGUACUAAUUGCCCGUGAGGCUUAACCAUACAACACCCAAGG